AUUGAACGCUGGCGGCAUGCUUUACACAUGCAAGUCGAACGGUAACAGGCCGCAAGGUGCUGACGAGUGGCGAACGGGUGAGUAAUGCAUCGGAACGUGCCCAGUCGUGGGGGAUAACGCAGCGAAAGCUGCGCUAAUACCGCAUACAAUCUCUGGAUGAAAGCGGGGGACCGAAAGGCCUCGCGCGAUUGGAGCGGCCGAUGUCAGAUUAGGUAGUUGGUGGGGUAAAGGCCCACCAAGCCAACGAUCUGUAGCUGGUCUGAGAGGACGACCAGCCACACUGGGACUGAGACACGGCCCAGACUCCUACGGGAGGCAGCAGUGGGGAAUUUUGGACGAUGGGCGCAAGCCUGAUCCAGCAAUGCCGCGUGCAGGAAGAAGGCCUUCGGGUUGUAAACUGCUUUUGUACGGAACGAAACGGCUCUGGUUAAUACCUGGGGCUAAUGACGGUACCGUAAGAAUAAGCACCGGCUAACUACGUGCCAGCAGCCGCCGUAAAAC
rnacentral:rRNA from 1 species